AUACUUACCUGGACGGGGUCGAUGGGUGAUCAAGAAGACCCAUGGCCUAAGGUAGGGGCCCUCAUUGCACUUGGAGGGAGCCCUGGCUUACCAUCUCCCCAAGUGGGAGAGUGGACGUCAUAAUUUGUGGCAGUGGGGGGACUCGCGUCCGCGCGGCCCCCUU